UCCCAGAACCUUAUCUCCUCCCAGCCGCAUACUACUCGUACGCUUCUCUCUCCCCCUCUCGCGUUUCUCUCCCUCCCGUUCCUCCCCAUCGCCCCUCACCCCUCUGGAUCGAAGGCAUCGACGCGGCGGCGUCCAGAUGACCGACCCUAGCAAGCUUCCAAGUCCCUCCUUACCUCCCUCCCGCUCCUCCCCGCACGUCCCUCCUUGCUCCACGCUGCUCCACCAGGCUCCCACAUCUCCCUGCCAAGCUCCCCGUCCAACUAGUUGCUUCCACUCAUAUGCGGCGGGGGAGGGUUAUGAGCAGUUAGAUCCGAUGCCAGAGACGGCUGGGGUGGAAGUGUUUGGCUUGAUAGCGGCGUUUAUGGAAGCGGCGGAAAAUUUUAGGGUUUUGAUUCAAGAGACACGAGCCAAGGCGGAGGAGGCGUGUCGGCUUGCGGUUGUGAUCCAAAAGGCGGUGGCGGCGGCGACUGCGGCGGUGGCGGAGGUUUGCAAGAAGGCGGUGGGUGGAGGAAGUUGGGAUGCGGCAGCGGCGGUGGAGGUUUGCAAGAAGGGGGCGGCGGUGGGUGGAGGCAGUUGGGAUGCGGCGGCGGCGUCGGAGGUUUGCAAGGCGGCUGAUGUAAUGCUCAAGGAGGUGGCGGCGCCCGCGGAUCUGAUAAAGGAGGGGGCAGUGGAGGACGAGGCUGACCAGCCUCUUAUUCUAAUUCUGGCAUCAACAACUAGGAUCUUAGGGUCUUUGGCGGCGGUAUGCGUGGAUUGACUCAAAGGACAAUGUUGGUUGACGACAGCGACCACACGGCACUGUUUGAGAAGAAGGCAAGCGUUAAGCAAAUCGGCAUCGAGGAGAUGAGGGGAAAAGCUAAGGAUGUGAGCAGCGAGGAGGUGAAGUCAAGCGACGAUGAUGAAGACAUGGUCAUUGGGGGAUAUGCGCAAGAUCCAUACGAUGAUAGUGGCCUAGAAGACCUUCUUCAAGACCAAGAUGCAUUGGAAAAAUCGGUAAAGAAAUUUCUGGAGUGUUUUAAGAGUGCAAAAUUUAGAUGAAUGCUUCAAUUAUGUGAUGUUUGUGUGCUGGUUUGGUGGUUAUGAAUGGUGGCCUAACAAAGCAACUCGAUAAGUAUCCUUUUGGUAUUGUAUGAAAUUAUGUGUAAAUAUGGUAUUAGAUAAGAUUAGGUGGUUAUGAAUAGAAGCCUUGACAGUCUGUCAAAGUAGGCACACUUUUGGUAUUGUAUGAAAGCAUGUGUAAUUACGGUAGUAGAUGAUAUUAGGUGGUUAUGAUGGUAAUGUAUCGAAAUAUUUCAAAUUAUGAUGGUUUAUGGUGGUGACUGAAAUUAAGGAGACGUUUGUACCAUGAUUUACUCUAAUGCUGAUAUUACAAUGUCAUAUGUACAAUCUGAAAUUAAGCCAAAAGCUGAAACCAUCGUAAAACUUCCUAUAUUACAUAGUCCAAAAGUUCAAACCAUCAUAAAACUUUAUAUUACAUAUUCCAAAAGCUGAAACCACUAUAAAACUUCCUAUAUUACAUGAUUUGUUGUAUUUACUUGCGUAAUACUGAUCUUACUUUACCAUAUAUACAACCUGACAUUUAACCAAAAGCUGAAACAAUGAUAGAGCUUCUCAUGUUGCAUGAUUUACUGCACUUGGUUGGAUAAUGCUGUUCUGAACUUGUCAUAUAGCUGACGACCACAACUAAGGGUAUUAGGGAGAAUGUCUAGACGCUCUAGCCUCUCUUUACCCAUAUGAGGAAUCCUGUAUCCAUUUCCACCAUCAACUUCCAUAACCUCUAACAAGCAAGAUUGUAGAGUUAGGAAAACCCUAUUCAGCUUGUUGUCAUCAUAAGCCUGAAAUUCCUGCUCAACAUUAUCUAUUAGCUCAUCUAUAUUCCUAGAUAUCCUUCUAUAUGUUAAUGAUUGCAGAGAUGCAAAGAACCCAAGAUCUAGUGCAUUCAUAUCUGUGGAAUUAGGAGGCUGAUACAUAAGGCGGAUGUCAAACCCUGUUUGAGAUACUGCAUAGGCAAAUUGAGGAUCAUCCACCGGCACAUGAGACGGAGCAUUAUCUUGCUGAAUCCAUAUAGUGUUGUGUCGCUCUUCUCGAGGCCAACUUGAUAUAAUAGCUGGUAGGACUUUAGCAAUUAGAAAUGAUCUGACAGUAUCUCGAUCAACCUUGAUUGUCUUGGUGACAAGAGUCCCUCUUGGCCUGUUUUGGCUUGCCCUUUGUGCUGGUUCCUAAAUAGUAAAUUAUGUAAGUUAGAUUAACAAUUAAGUUUUGCAUCACAAGCCUAUCUUGCCGUCACUAAUUAAAAAUGCAUAUAUGAAGAUGUUAUGAUACCUUUUUGGUGAAAGGCCACAAGCCUAUCUUGCCGUCAAAAGUGCAAAUACCUUCUUCAUUGUAUCUAGGCCUAGCCACUGCUGCCAAGAACAUCACUUUAUCAAUAGAAUUCUUGUUUUGCACAGGUCUGUAUGGAUCAUCCUCCCAAUGGACCAUGUAAAAAUUUCUUGUCUUCUUAGUGGUAUUGAACCAUUUUUCAUCGAUGUGCACAAUAUUGCGCAUAUCAACAAACUUGGGUUCAUCUAGCAAAGUAUGCCAAUCUAACAUGGAAAGACACCAUCGCAGCCUUGACCGUUUGUUCUCUUCCUUCAACAAUGGCUUUAAUGUGUUCGAGUGACGUCUUAGUAUCCUUUUUUCAACAUCCUAUGCAGCGUGCUCUUUGGUACACCUGCGGCUGAUGCAAAUGACCGUAAAGUGCCCCUUAGUUGCAAGGGAACAUUAGCAAUAUCUGAUAGGUUGAUUUCAUUCUUUUUGUGACCAGAAUUUUUUUUCUUUCUAGAGCUUACAUCGAUUGGUAUUCCUUGGGCACGACAUUGCUUCGCUCUUCUCCAAAAAUCUUGCACUCUAGCUCUUUUCACAUUAAACAUUUCUGCAACUUCAGUAGUAGCCUUUUUCCUUAGGAUUCCGUUGGUAGUUUUCCCAACCAAUGCUAUAUAUAUCUAUUGCCUUUGUAUAUUGGUCAGAUUUUUGUAUGGCUGUUCAUCUUCCUGAUCUGAAUCAUCCAACUCCUCGUGUUCGAAAACAAUGUCCACAUCACCGGCAUACAAACCGUACUCCUACAUGUCUACAACAAUAAUUUCCAGGUGUUCCUUCAAGGCAUCGGAGUUGAUAUCAAAAGGAAAGGCAUUAUGGAUGUGACCUCCAUAAAGUUGUAGAACUUGAUCCAUUGCAUCGCCAUUGUCUACAAUAACAAUUACCAUGUACAACAUCAACACAGGAGUUUAUGAGAUCAAAGAACCACAAUCAAGGUGCAUCAAUAUUGAGAUCAAAAGGAAACACAUGUUUGUCACCUCCCUGGACAUCACCUCCAAGUUGAUCCUCCUCCUGACCAAGAUGGAUUUCAACUUCAGCAAUUUCGUCAUUGAGGUCAGGCAAAGCCUGUUCAUCUCCCUCAUCUACUGGCUUGUUUAGAUCAAGAGCCAUGGAGGUGAUUUUGAAGACUCAUGCAGUGAUUCAGUGGGAGGGAAACUUGCUAUUGAGGUUCAUUUCAAACUUAUAUAGGGUUGUUGUAGUGGUGUGUGCUGAAAUUUGUAAUGCUUGCCGCCAAUGAAGCAAUGCUAAGUUUCAAAAUAUUUGGCGCCCUGGUUGCUGUGUAUUAUUUGUAUAUUGAGCACUUAAUGGCUGCAUCAGAAAUAUUCUUAUCCAA